UGCCGGCGACCGGCGGACGGGCGCGUAACGCGUAUGUAACCUACCUUUGACAGGGGGAUAACAUCGAGAAAUUGGUACUAAUACCCCAUAACAUCACCGGAGGCAUCUUCGGUGGUUGAAAACUCAGGUGGUCAGAGAUGGACAUGCGUUGUAUUAGCUAGUUGGUGAGGUAACGGCUCACCAAGGCGACGAUACAUAGGGGGACUGAGAGGUCAACCCCCCACAUUGGUACUGAGACACGGACCAAACUCCUACGGAAGGCAGCAG
rnacentral:rRNA from 1 species